rnacentral:rRNA from 1 species
AAGCUAUUUAGGUAGCGCCUCAUGUAUCACUCUGGGGGGUAGAGCACUGUUUCGGCUAGGGGGUCAUCCCGACUUACCAAACCGAUGCAAACUCCGAAUACCCAGAAGUGCCGAGCAUGGGAGACACACGGCGGGUGCUAACGUCCGUCGUGAAAAGGGAAACAACCCAGACCGCCAGCUAAGGUCCCAAAGUUGUGGUUAAGUGGUAAACGAUGUGGGAAGGCUUAGACAGCUAGGAGGUUGGCUUAGAAGCAGCCACCCUUUAAAGAAAGCGUAAUAGCUCACUAGUCGAGUCGGCCUGCGCGGAAGAUGUAACGGGGCUCAAACCACACACCGAAGCUGCGGGUGUCACGUAAGUGACGCGGUAGAGGAGCGUUCUGUAAGCCUGUGAAGGUGAGUUGAGAAGCUUGCUGGAGGUAUCAGAAGUGCGAAUGCUGACAUGAGUAACGACAAUGGGUGUGAAAAACACCCACGCCGAAAGACCAAGGGUUCCUGCGCAACGUUAAUCGACGCAGGGUUAGUCGGUUCCUAAGGCGAGGCUGAAAAGCGUAGUCGAUGGGAAACAGGUUAAUAUUCCUGUACUUCUGGUUACUGCGAUGGAGGGACGGAGAAGGCUAGGCCAGCUUGGCGUUGGUUGUCCAAGUUUAAGGUGGUAGGCUGAAAUCUUAGGUAAAUCCGGGGUUUCAAGGCCGAGAGCUGAUGACGAGUCGUCUUUUAGAUGACGAAGUGGUUGAUGCCAUGCUUCCAAGAAAAGCUUCUAAGCUUCAGGUAACCAGGAACCGUACCCCAAACCGACACAGGUGGUCGGGUAGAGAAUACCAAGGCGCUUGGGAGAACUCGGGUGAAGGAACUAGGCAAAAUGGCACCGUAACUUCGGGAGAAGGUGCGCCGGCUAGGGUGAAGGAUUUACUCCGUAAGCUCUGGCUGGUCGAAGAUACCAGGCCGCUGCGACUGUUUAUUAAAAACACAGCACUCUGCAAACACGAAAGUGGACGUAUAGGGUGUGACGCCUGCCCGGUGCCGGAAGGUUAAUUGAUGGGGUUAGCGCAAGCGAAGCUCUUGAUCGAAGCCCCGGUAAACGGCGGCCGUAACGAUAACGGUCCUAAGGUAGCGAAAUUCCUUGUCGGGUAAGUUCCGACCUGCACGAAUGGCGUAACGAUGGCGGCGCUGUCUCCACCCGAGACUCAGUGAAAUUGAAAUCGCUGUGAAGAUGCAGUGUAUCCGCGGCUAGACGGAAAGACCCCGUGAACCUUUACUGUAGCUUUGCACUGGACUUUGAGCCUGCUUGUGUAGGAUAGGUGGGAGGCUUUGAAGCGUGGACGCCAGUUCGCGUGGAGCCAUCCUUGAAAUACCACCCUGGCAUGCUUGAGGUUCUAACUCUGGUCCGUAAUCCGGAUCGAGGACAGUGUAUGGUGGGCAGUUUGACUGGGGCGGUCUCCUCCUAAAGAGUAACGGAGGAGUACGAAGGUGCGCUCAGACCGGUCGGAAAUCGGUCGCAGAGUAUAAAGGCAAAAGCGCGCUUGACUGCGAGACAGACACGUCGAGCAGGUACGAAAGUAGGUC